AAAUUGACGGGGACCCGCACAAGCGGUGGAUGAUGUGGAUUAAUUCGAUGCAACGCGAAAACCUUACUACCCUUGACAUGUCCGGAAUCCCGAAGAGAUUUGGGAGUGCUCGCAAGAGAACCGGAACACAGGUGCUGCAUGGCUGUCGUCAGCUCGUGUCGUGAGAUGUUGGGUUAAGUCCCGCAACGAGCGCAACCCUUGUCAUUAGUUGCCAUCAUUUGGUUGGGCACUCUAAUGAGACUGCCGGUGACAAACCGGAGGAAGGUGGGGAUGACGUCAAGUCCUCAUGGCCCUUAUGGGUAGGGCUUCACACGUCAUACAAUGGUCGGUACAGAGGGUUGCCAACCCGCGAGGGGGAGCUAAUCCCACAAAGCCGAUCGUAGUCCGGAUCGCAGUCUGCAACUCGACUGCGUGAAGUCGGAAUCGCUAGUAAUCGUGGAUCAGCAUGUCACGGUGAAUACGUUCCCGGGUCUU
rnacentral:rRNA from 1 species